GAAGCAGGCCAAGACAACCGCUGGCUGUCAUUUCGGUGAUGGCGGGAGGAAGGUCCGGACUCCAUAGAGCAGGGUGACGGUUAACGGCCGUCCGCCGCGAGGCGAGGAAUAGGGCCACAGAGACGAGCGUAUUAAGUUACGGUGAAACGCGGUAACCUCCACCUGGAGCAAUUUCAAAUAGGCACGCGUUGACGUUGCUCGCGGAGCGUGCGGGUAGAAAGCUUGAGCCGUGGAGUAAUUCACGGCCUAGAGGAAUGGUUGUCAUAGCAAAUGGGCUUGCUCAUUUGCCGUAACAGAAUCCGGCCUAUCGGCUUGCUUCAACU
rnacentral:RNase_P_RNA from 14 species